rnacentral:rRNA from 1 species
CCUGGUAGUCCACGCCGUAAACGAUGUCAACUAGCCGUUGGGAGUCUUGAACUCUUAGUGGCGCAGCUAACGCAUUAAGUUGACCGCCUGGGGAGUACGGCCGCAAGGUUAAAACUCAAAUGAAUUGACGGGGGCCCGCACAAGCGGUGGAGCAUGUGGUUUAAUUCGAAGCAACGCGAAGAACCUUACCAGGCCUUGACAUCCAAUGAACUUUCUAGAGAUAGAUUGGUGCCUUCGGGAACAUUGAGACAGGUGCUGCAUGGCUGUCGUCAGCUCGUGUCGUGAGAUGUUGGGUUAAGUCCCGUAACGAGCGCAACCCUUGUCCUUAGUUACCAGCACGUAAUGGUGGGCACUCUAAGGAGACUGCCGGUGACAAACCGGAGGAAGGUGGGGAUGACGUCACAGUCAUCAUGGCCCUUACGGCCUGGGCUACACACGUGCUACAAUGGUCGGUACAAAGGGUUGCCAAGCCGCGAGGUGGAGCUAAUCCCAUAAAACCGAUCGUAGUCCGGAUCGCAGUCUGCAACUCGACUGCGUGAAGUCGGAAUCGCUAGUAAUCGUGAAUCAGAAUGUCACGGUGAAUACGUUCCCGGGCCUUGUACACACCGGCCCGUCACACCAUUGGGAGUGGGUUGCACCAGAAGUAGCUAGUCUAACCCUCGGGAGGACGGUUGACCACGGUGUGAUUCAUGACUGGGGUGAAGUCGUAACAAGGUAGCCGUAGGGGAACCUGCGGCUGGAUCACCUCCUUAAUCGACGACAUCAGUUGCUCCAUAAGUUCCCACACGAAUUGCUUGAUUCAUUGUAGAAGACUGGUAGAAGCCAGUUAAGUAUUUGGCUUCUCUAUCGUAAAGCUUAGAAAUGAACAUUUCAUUGAAAAAUGGUGAAUGUUGAUUUCUGAUCUUUUGAUUAGAUCGUUCUUUAAAAAUUUGGGUAUGUAAUAGAAAGUUAGACUGGAUAGCACUUUCACUGGUGUUUAUUCAGGCUAAGGUAAAAUUUGUGAGUUCGCUCUUAAUUGAGCAUGCGAAUUUUCGGCGAAUGUCGUCUUCAUAGUAUAACC